CCUCAUACAAAGCAGCACACGAACAUGUGACAGGGCCACAUCGCGAGGUGUUGUCCUGACUACUGGUUGAAAAAGGUCUCCUUGACCUUAGAAGAGUGGUGGUGCUUGGAUGGUGUAGUACAUAUAGUGUCCACAAUUGUCCCUACAUUUACCUGGUCUUACCCAGAGUCACUCUGACACGUGGACUGGAGGAGCUGGAGUUUGUGAACCAACAACCUGUCAAGUGGUAGCCAUACAUAAAGAGAGUAAAGUUCUCAUCCUCUAGCCCGGGGCCAGCCAAAGUGAGAUCCACAGGCCAAGUCUGGACCUUCACACAGAUCAGGCCUUCAAGAAAUUACCCCUGCUGGCUAUGUUUCAGAAAAGAUUAGUCUGUGGUUCGCUCUUUUUAAUGUGCUUUUGUAUAGAAAUGAUUUUCAGAUCCAGAGUUGGAACUUACAUCAAGCAUGGAAUUAAUUCCAAUUUAAAACUUUAAAGAUGGCAUUAUGGAUUAGGUUUGUUACUUUUAUUGCACAACAGUGUUUGGAGCAUUUUCCCCUCUGUUUUGAAGGUUUAACCUUAAGGAAAAAUGCAAUGACAUCUGGUACUGGUUCCUAAUGUUUUUUUUUUUUUAAAAACCCCUCAA